AAUUCGAUUAGAGUUUGAUCCUGGCUCAGAUUGAACGCUGGCGGCAGGCUUAACACAUGCAAGUCGAGCGGUAGCACAGGGGAGCUUGCUCCCUGGGUGACGAGCGGCGGACGGGUGAGUAAUGUCUGGGAAACUGCCUGAUGGAGGGGGAUAACUACUGGAAACGGUAGCUAAUACCGCAUAACGUCGCAAGACCAAAGAGGGGGACCUUCGGGCCUCUUGCCAUCAGAUGUGCCCAGAUGGGAUUAGCUAGUAGGUGGGGUAAUGGCUCACCUAGGCGACGAUCCCUAGCUGGUCUGAGAGGAUGACCAGCCACACUGGAACUGAGACACGGUCCAGACUCCUACGGGAGGCAGCAGUGGGGAAUAUUGCACAAUGGGCGCAAGCCUGAUGCAGCCAUGCCGCGUGUGUGAAGAAGGCCUUCGGGUUGUAAAGCACUUUCAGCGAGGAGGAAGGUGGUGAGCUUAAUACGCUCAUCAAUUGACGUUACUCGCAGAAGAAGCACCGGCUAACUCCGUGCCAGCAGCCGCGGUAAUACGGAGGGUGCAAGCGUUAAUCGGAAUUACUGGGCGUAAAGCGCACGCAGGCGGUUUGUUAAGUCAGAUGUGAAAUCCCCGGGCUCAACCUGGGAACUGCGUUUGAAACUGGCAAGCUAGAGGCUCGUAAAGGGGGGUAGAAUUCCAGUUGUAGCGGUGAAAUGCUUGGAGGUGCUGACCAGGCCUGUACCGUAGGGUGCCCCCUGGCUAAGAGUAUGCUCAGGUCCUAACCCUGGGGGGCGGGAGAUUAAGGAGGUGCCCGUG
rnacentral:rRNA from 1 species